rnacentral:piRNA from 1 species
UGGUAGAUUUUCUGACUUCUACAUUU